AGAGUUUGAUCCUGGCUUAGGAUGAACGCUGGCGGCGUGCUUAACACAUGCAAGUCGAACGGAGUUUUUAAACGGAAGUUUUCGGAUGGAAGUUUAAGAACUUAGUGGCGGACGGGUGAGUAACGCGUGGGUAACCUGCCUCAUACAGGGGGAUAACAGUUAGAAAUGACUGCUAACACCGCAUAAUAUAGUGAAACCGCAUGAUUUUUGCUAUCAAAUAUUUAUAGGUAUGAGAUGGGCCCGCGUCUGAUUAGCUAGUUGGUGGGGUAAAAGCCUACCAAGGCGACGAUCAGUAGCCGGCUUGAGAGAGUGACCGGCCACAUUGGGACUGAGACACGGCCCAAACUCCUACGGGAGGCAGCAGUGGGGAAUAUUGGACAAUGGGGGAAACCCUGAUCCAGCGAACCGCCGCGUGAGUGAAGAAGUAUUUCGGUAUGUAAAGCUCUAUCAGCAGGGAAGAUAAUGACAGUACCUGACUAAGAAGCCCCGGCUAACUACGUGCCAGCCGCUGC
rnacentral:rRNA from 1 species